UUUUCCUAACUCCGGUCGAUGGUAGAGUAAGUGCUAUUGCAUCUUACUGCAAAAUCGGUCCUAUAGUCAAGAAUUCCAGAGUUAAUCUUAUAGGUAGUCUAAUUAAGUUCGUGUUUGAUCUUUAAGUAUAGUUACCCUUGUUUUUCGUAAUUCCACAUUUCCACUUAAAGAUGUUGGUGUUUUGGGUGA